GAUGAAGAACGCAGCGAAAUGCGAUAAGUAGUGUGAAUUGCAGAAUUCAGUGAAUCAUCGAAUCUUUGAACGCACAUUGCGCCCUUUGGUAUUCCAAAGGGCAUGCCUGUUCGAGCGUCAUUUGUACCCUCAAGCUUUGCUUGGUGUUGGGCGUCUUGUCUCUAGCUUUGCUGGAGACUCGCCUUAAAGUAAUUGGCAGCCGGCCUACUGGUUUCGGAGCGCAGCACAAGUCGCACUCUCUAUCAGCAAAGGUCUAGCAUCCAUUAAGCCUUUUUUCAACUUUUGACCUCGGAUCAGGUAGGGAUACCCGCUGAACUUAAGCAUAUCAAUAAGCGGAGG
rnacentral:misc_RNA from 1 species